rnacentral:rRNA from 1 species
UACGUAGGGUGCGAGCGUUAAUCGGAAUUACUGGGCGUAAAGCGUGCGCAGGCGGUUUUGUAAGACAGACGUGAAAUCCCCGGGCUUAACCUGGGAACUGCGUUUGUGACUGCAAGACUAGAGUACGGUAGAGGGGGGUAGAAUUCCACGUGGAGCAGUGAAAUGCGUGGAGAUGUGGAGGAAGACCGAUGGCGAAGGCAGCCCCCUGGGAUAACACUGACGCUCAUGUACGAAAGCGUGGGUAGCAAACAGG